AGGGGAGCUUUCUGUCUAUGUGAACUCAUUUGCAAUUCUUACAAAAUCUCUACUGCCCUUGCCAGACAAAUAUCAUGGUCUAACUCAUGUGGAUAAGCGUUACCGGCAACGGUUCCGAAGGCCCAAGUUGUUGGUGUUAAAAGUUUGCGCUUUUCCCCAAAUUUCCAAAUGGUUUAAAGUUUCUGAAUCACCCUGCUCUUGAUGGUCAUUUAAGUGAUAAAGAUUGAAAGAUUUUCAAACAUCUUACUACCUUGAGGUGCAUACAAGGAUCCUUGUAUUGCUAUAUGAAUUGAGGGCAACUUAAUUUUCUUAUUGGUAUAGCACUUUACAACAUCUUUUUCUUAGUUGUAAAUCUGAUUUUUUAAACAUACUGCUGCUUGAAGUAUAUUUUAAGGAAUAUUUUAUUCAUUAUUGCAGCAGUUUCUCUCGCUCUUUUUCUUGUUGCACUUGUUCAUAGUUGUUAUGAAUGAAUGGUUUAAAAUAUUUAUUAUACUUACAACUACAUGACAAGACACUGCAGUAGUCUAUUACUGUAAUAUUAGAAAGUAAUUAGUUGGU